GUGGUGGGGGUAAUAUACCGGAGGAAGAUAAUGGACAUAGAAGGAUUUUAGCCAAGAGACGAUCCUAACUGCUACCAUCGCCGAAUCCUCUGCUCUCACCUAUCACUUAUAUGAUUCUAUUGUUAUGACACAGGCAUAAAACAAACUUCUUAUGACAUCA